GACAGAGGGUGCAAACGUUGUUCGGAAUUACUGGGCGUAAAGGGUGCGUAGGCGGUGCUCUAAGUCGGAUGUGAAAACUCUGGGCUCAACCCAGAGCCUGCAUCCGAAACUGGAGUGCUAGAGUUCUGGAGGGGGUAGCGGAAUUCCUGGUGUAGCGGUGAAAUGCGUAGAUAUCAGGAGGAACACCGGUGGCGAAGGCGGCUACCUGGACAGAAACUGACGCUGAGGCACGAAAGCUAGGGGAGCAAACAGG
rnacentral:rRNA from 1 species